GAUAGAGACAGCAGCGAGACUGGGAGGACAUUCACUGAUAAACUCUGAACCCUCACAAUGAGAACAUUCAGACUUUGUAGUCAGAGAUGAGCUGCUCUCAUUCAGCACCCAGCAGGCCACAACGGUAUGCAUUUUACCACUUUGACAACGUAACUUGACAUUUAACCGAGGGCACGGAGAGCAGCACAGGUCAUGAGAGAGGCUGGUACGAACACUGGAUUAAGUCUAGGUUGCAAAGCUGGAUUGGGUUGCUCCGCCUGUGUUUCGGGAUGAGACUUGGGCUUGAACAUGUACGGCUAACCUGAAGCCAUGGUUACAGCUGAAGCAACUUUGUUUUGGAUCACACUACCUUGCUUGUCUGGACCCACCCUACUCUGCUUCUGAUUGGCUAGUAGUCCUUACCUGGGAACUGUGCAUGUGCAACUCCAAACACAUAAAAGUGAAUUGUUUCACUCUGUAGCUAAAACGGAGCAUUCAACACAGUGUGAAAAGAGGUGCUGCAGCAAUGUGCAGUCUGACAAAAAUAUGGUGUUUCUUGUAAAUUACACGAUAUAAACCUAUUUUGGUUCAACCCCUGAAUAAAUUAUGAACCUGAAAAUUA